GGUGUCAAUGACGGCGAGGGUCCACCCGUUCCCAUCCCGAACACGGAAGUUAAGCUCGUUCGUGCCGAAAAUACUUGACUGGAGACGGUCCGGGAAGAUAGGUCGACGCC
rnacentral:rRNA from 1 species